rnacentral:rRNA from 1 species
UACCAGCACCCCGAGUGGUCGGGACGAUUAUUGGGCCUAAAGCAUCCGUAGCCGGUUUUACAAGUCCUCCGUUAAAUCCAGCUGCUUAACAGAUGGGCUGCGGAGGAUACUAUAAGACUAGGAGGCAGGAGAGGCAAGCGGUACUCAGUGGGUAGGGGUAAAAUCCGUUGAUCCAUUGAAGACCACCAGUGGCGAAGGCGGCUUGCCAGAAUGCGCUCGACGGUGAGGGAUGGAAAGCUGG